rnacentral:rRNA from 1 species
UGAGGAAUAUUGGUCAAUGGGCGGGAGCCUGAACCAGCCAAGUCGCGUGAGGGAAGACGGUCCUACGGAUUGUAAACCUCUUUUGCCGGGGAGCAACGGGGUCCUUGCGAGGGCCCGAUGAGAGUACCCGGAGAAAAAGCAUCGGCUAACUCCGUGCCC